CCUGAACUUUAUUUCGACGCAUCUUAAUUACGACGCCAUUUUUGUUUUGACCUCGUUUUCGAUUUCGGGUUUCCGUAUGACGUCACUCUCACGCACUUUAGUUUAUAAACACCACGGUGAUUUCUCGCAGCGAAAAUGUGGAGAGUCAGGGAUUUUGAGACCCCUAAAGUCAAGGUCAGGAAUUACUCUCCUACUUCUAUGACAGCAGCUUACUUAAAAUGCAGGGAGGCAGGGGCCCCAAUAAGAACAACUGCUCGUCAGUAUGGUGUGCCAGAGGCUACAUUAAGACACAAGCUUAGUGGAAGAACCACCCCGAGGCUGUUCGUUCUGGACCACCACCUUUAUUUUCACAGGAAGAGGAAGCCUUAUUAGUGGAGCACCUUAAGUUCACUGCUUCUGUUGGAUAUGGAUACAGCAGGAAGGAAGUUAUUGAUAUUAGCACAGAGUAUGCUGUUGCUUUGGGUCAUAGACAACCAGGGGAACCUUUAUCAGUUGGCUGGUUUGUAUUGUUCAAGUCUCGGUGGCCA